UCCUUUUGUAUGAAAUGUUUUGACUUAUAAAUCACUUUACAUACUUUUUCAACCUGGACUAUCAACCAGUGAAAACGUAUAUGUCAUUAGAAUUGAGCAAUAAUUUAUUUAAGUUCAUUUUGAGAGUAUAGUAAGUCACAUUGUUUGCAAUUUGAGAGAUGUAGAUGACUGAAUGUUUUUCACUUAUAAAAUACCCAGUUUUUAUAAACUAGUCCAUUC
rnacentral:lncRNA from 1 species